CGGUGUUUAACUGGCGUGAUGUGGGACGUCCUACCGGUGGGCUUAGCCUCGCGAGGGGCGGCCCAACUAAUAUCCCGUCGCGGUGCUCUUUACUGAGUGUCGAGUCGGGCCGGUACGUUUACUUUGAACAAAUUAGAGUGCUUAAAGCAGGCUAUCCUCGCCUGAAUACUGCGUGCAUGGAAUAAUGGAAUAGGACCUCGGUUCUAUUUUGUUGGUUUUCGGAACCCCGAGGUAAUGAUUAAUAGGGACAGAUGGGGGCAUUCGUAUUGCGACGUUAGAGGUGAAAUUCUUGGAUCGUCGCAAGACGGACAGAAGCGAAAGCAUUUGCCAAAAAUGUUUUCAUUAAUCAAGAACGAAAGUUAGAGGUUCGAAGGCGAUCAGAUACCGCCCUAGUUCUAACCAUAAACGAUGCCAGCUAGCGAUCCGCCGAAGUUCCUCCGAUGACUCGGCGGGCAGCUUCCGGGAAACCAAAGCUUUUGGGUUCCGGGGGAAGUAUGGUUGCAAAGCUGAAACUUAAAGGAAUUGACGGAAGGGCACCACCAGGAGUGGAGCCUGCGGCUUAAUUUGACUCAACACGGGAAACCUCACCAGGCCCAGACACCGGAAGGAUUGACAGAUUGAUAGCUCUUUCUUGAUUCGGUGGGUGGUGGUGCAUGGCCGUUCUUAGUUGGUGGAGCGAUUUGUCUGGUUAAUUCCGAUAACGAACGAGACUCUAGCCUGCUAAAUAGGCGUACCUUAUGGUAUUGCGAAGGCCCCCGGCUUCGGCCGGUGGGUUUUUACUACCAACGUACAAACAAAUCUUCUUAGAGGGACAGGCGG
rnacentral:rRNA from 1 species